AAAUAUUAAUUUUGAGUCGACAACAUAUAUCCGCAAAAUUCGGAUUAUGGAGAAUUUCGUUAAAUUUCAAUUGCACUGACAAGCAAACCACAGUCGCCAUCUUGGGUAGUUAAUAAACGUUGCUUAGAUACGCAUCGCCAACGUUUAGUGAAUCUUAUCAAAAAAUACUUUUCGUCAGUCGUUGACGUUUCGCGAAAAUAUUGUUUUUGACACUUUUUUAUGAUAUACUUUUUGUUAUGUGUUUUUUCUUUAAACCUAAGAUUGGCCGAUUGCGAUAAAAACCAUAGAAAGAAGAAUAAUAACCAUAACCUCAAAGUCGAAGUUUUAGUUCAAAUGUCAUUUAGUUGUUCAAAUGUCAUUUAGUUGUUCAAAUGUCAUUGUCAUUUACUUUGUUUGGAUUACACACAUCAUGCCGAAAAUCGUAAGUAUUUCAUAAAAUGUUUCGUUGGUCGUGUCUCUGUCUUCGUUUAGUCUUUUGUUUGAUGAUACCUAUAUCAUUUUGUUAACAGCCGAAUCUCCGUGCAUUUGGUAAACAUUGUCACAAUUGUGGAAAGUGGAUGGAGCGAAGAAAUGUGCAGUCGGUGUGUGGAAUGCGACAACAUUAUACUCGAUAAUUUCAAUUAUUGCGAGUGCUGUGGCUGUAAAAUGAAAAAUAAUACUUAUUACCAGAUAGAGAUGUCGAUAACGAAGAGUUGAAUGUUAGAACUUAUGAAAAUAUUAUUUACAACUCAUUUCGAGAAGCUGCUCAAGCAAGAGGGCUCCUUUUUGACGAUCAAGAAUGGGAAAGAUGUUUGAAUGAAGCAAUUGAUUUUAAACUUCCUCGGCAAUUGUUUCGAGUUCGAAGAUUCGAUGAUGUAAAAAUUCAAAUUAUCAAUACCACUGAACAAGACUUGAAAGGUGAUAAAUAUUUAUCGAAAAAUGUUAUAUAUGGAGAAAUUUUGUGAUAAUCAACCUCUGAUGUAUAAUAGAGAAUAUUUUUUUAUAAGUACCUUUGCCAAAUUCUCGGACAAGUACUCAUUGUAAAAUUACAAUUUACAUACUUCCUAAUAUUAUUCUUGAUUUAGCCAAUUUGGAUAAAGAACCACAAUUUCAUAUUUUAUUUUUAAAAUUAGUAAGU